UUUGAAAUCGGGUCUUCCUUGAGCAAUGAAAGAAGUUGCUCUGAUAUGACCAACCCCUUUUUCCUUCUCUCUCUUUUCUCUUCACAGCCAUGUGGAAAGAUCGAAGAACCAAUCUGAUUCCGGUCGUAGAUCUCAAUUUCCUUGAAGAUCAUGAUUGAUCCGGAGCAAAAAGGUAGUAAGGAAUUAAAUGAUCAGCGACCGCUGACAUGGGCCAGUGGAUUAGUGUUCUGAACCGUUGAUCUAUGAGGGUGCUACAGUAGAAAACUCCUAGAUUGGAAGAUGCUUUAGGUUUCCAAUGUUUAGUCCUUUUUUUUAUUU